CAAUAGCGUAUAUUUAAGUUGCUGCAGUUAAAAAGCUCGUAGUUGGAUUUCGGGUGGGAAUGGCCGGUCCGCCGUUUCGGUGUGCACUUGCUACGCCCACCUUGCUGCCGGGGACGUGCUCUUGAGUUCACGCUCGGGACACGGAGUCGGCGAGGUUACUUUGAGUAAAUUAGAGUGUUCAAAGCAGGCCUACGCUCUGAAUACAUUAGCAUGGAAUAACACGAUAGGACUCUGGCCUAUCUUGUUGGUCUGUAGGACCGGAGUAAUGAUUAAGAGGGACAGUCGGGGGCAUUCGUAUUUCAUUGUCAGGGGUGAAAUUCUCGGAUUUAUGAAAGACGAACUACUGCGAAAGCAUUUGCCAAGGAUGUUUUCAUUAA
rnacentral:rRNA from 1 species